CCUACGGGAGGCAGCAGUCGAGAAUCAUGCACAAUGGGGGAAACCCUGAUGGAGCGAAGCCGCGUGGGGGAAUGAAGGUCUUCGGAUUGUAAACCCCUGUCAUGUGGGAGCAAAUUAAAAAGAUAGUACCACAAGAGGAAGAGACGGCUAACACGGUGCCAGCAGCCGCGGUAAUACAGAGGUCUCAAGAGUUGGUCGGAAUCACUGGGCGUAAAGCGUGCGUAGGCUGUUUAGUAAGUCGUGUGUGAAAGGCGCGGGCUCAACCCGCGGACUGCACAUGAUACUGCGAGACUAGAGUAAGGGUGGGGGAACCGGAAUUCUCGGUGUAGCAGUGAAAUGCGUAGAUAUCGAGAGGAACACUCGUGGCGAAGGCGGGUUCCUGGACAUUAACUGACGCUGAGGCACGAAGGCCAGGGGAGCGAAAGGGAUUAGAUACCCUAGUAGUC
rnacentral:rRNA from 1 species